rnacentral:rRNA from 1 species
UACGUAGGGGGCAAGCGUUGUCCGGAUUCAUUGGGCGUAAAGAGCGUGUAGGCGGCCUGAAAGGUCAGCUGUGAAAACUCGAGGCUCAACCUCGAGACGUCGGUUGAAACCAUCUGGCUAGAGUCCGGUAGGGGAGUGCGGAAUUCCUGGUGUAGCGGUGAAAUGCGCAGAUAUCAGGAGGAACACCGGUGGCGAAGGCGGCACUCUGGGCCGGUACUGACGCUGAGGAGCGAAAGCGUGGGGAGCGAACAGG